AAAUUUUACUCUUUUCCGUAACUAUCCCAAAAUAUAACUAGAAACCAAAAAAUAUCUUGAAUGUGUGCACCCGGGGAAUCGAACCCCGGUCAGUACCGUGGGAGGGUACUAUGAUACCACUACACCAGAUGCGCUUCCUGUCUUCACGUUUCAAUUAGAAUUAUUAUUAUAUAUAAUAGAACAGGGUUAGAAGCUCUGUUGUCAGUUCACAGAGAGAUAAAACCCUAGCCGCAGCCAUAACCACUUACCAGUUCUAAAAAAUUAUAGCAUUUGGUUAUCUUGAUUGCUGGCUGGUUUUCUUAUUGAAGGCUGACAACCGAGUGAGAUUUCUUGAGCAUUUACCUUCAAGAUUGAUGUUUAUAGACUUGUUUUAAUAGUUGUUGUAUUAAAAAUACUGAAUAAGAACAAAGCACAGGUAGGAGCAAUAAGCUGUUUGUAAUUUAGUUAAGGUUUCAUGUA